UAACCUCUGGCGAAAGGCGUGAAUGUUG
ncrna:Flavobacterium antarcticum DSM 19726 L19-Flavobacteria ribosomal protein leader